rnacentral:rRNA from 1 species
GACGAACGCUGGCGGCGUGCUUAACACAUGCAAGUCGAACGCUGAAGCCUAGCUUGCUGGGUGGAUGAGUGGCGAACGGGUGAGUAACACGUGAGUAACCUGCCCUCUUCUUUGGGAUAACGCCCGGAAACGGGUGCUAAUACUGGAUAUUCACUGAUUCUCGCAUGGGGGUUGGUGGAAAGGUUUUUUCUGGUGGGGGAUGGGCUCGCGGCCUAUCAGCUUGUUGGUGGGGUGAUGGCCUACCAAGGCUUUGACGGGUAGCCGGCCUGAGAGGGUGACCGGUCACAUUGGGACUGAGAUACGGCCCAGACUCCUACGGGAGGCAGCAGUGGGGAAUAUUGCACAAUGGGCGAAAGCCUGAUGCAGCGACGCCGCGUGAGGGAUGGAGGCCUUCGGGUUGUAAACCUCUUUCGCUCAUGGUCAAGCCGCAACUUAGGGUUGUGGUGAGGAUAGUGGGUAAAGAAGCGCCGGCUAACUACGUGCCAGCAGCCGCGGUAAUACGUAGGGCGCGAGCGUUGUCCGGAAUUAUUGGGCGUAAAGGGCUUGUAGGCGGUUGGUCGCGUCUGCCGUGAAAUCCUCUGGCUUAACUGGGGGCGUGCGGUGGGUACGGGCUGACUUGAGUGCGGUAGGGGAGACUGGAACUCCUGGUGUAGCGGUGGAAUGCGCAGAUAUCAGGAAGAACACCGGUGGCGAAGGCGGGUCUCUGGGCCGUUACUGACGCUGAGGAGCGAAAGCGUGGGGAGCGAACAGG